UCUGACAAUAGCAAUUCGGAUGUAACCUAACGUCGCGAACAAGUACAGAAUGGGGCAAAGAGGCUUCGUAAAAGGCUGCAAGUCAGCUAAAACGGAACACACUGUGUAAGGACUCAAUCAGAUCCCGAACGCUGCCGCCAGCCCAAACUGACAAGUCGAGACGGGCCUGCUAUUUGGCAGCACACGCGGUCCAUAAAGAACCAGUCACCACGGAGACUUGCCUUUUGAGGCGAAAUGUCACAAAGUUGCCCCGACGGAGAUGCACUUUAUUGAAAAUAAAGGUGGAAAAACACGGGCGAGGACGUAGGAAGGAAGGCAAAAACAACGCAAGCUUGGAUGCCAAACCCCUUUUAUCCCCAGCUGAGUCGCAUUCCAGCCGCCACACUGACCUGGGAUUAACUAAGUCCGCGCAACCAGAAUAUGAUUCGUGGCCAACUUUGGACACAUAUCUGGAGAUGAUCGGUCAGAGGUCGGACUCACCUCCAAGUGCUAAUUCUUUAUCUUCAGAAGACAUUCUGGACAGUUGCGUGCGUCCAAAUGUGGAGCAGCGGGUUACGAAAGGGCAUUCUGGUGCUAUCUUCGUCUAUCUGGAGCCAGAUGAGUGAGAAACUCGGGGAAGGACGUAAAUGGCAACUCGACCGAAUGUAAAGGCGAAGGAGCUGCAGACAAACAUCUCUCCUCAGCGCCAUAAUGAGAAAAACAGGUUGCCGUGAUUGGAAGCGACGCAGUGAGCACAGAGGGAAGAAGCGGAAGACCUCUUCUUGGCGUGGUCCUCGCUAGACAAAACACCUCCUCUGCUUCUGCCAAACGGCUCUGACGGCUUCAUUCGGAGAGCCGACGAGCAGGCACACUGGGCCGGCGAGGGCCAAGUGCCUUCCGAACUAUCUUUCCUCGCCAUCUGUCUCGCCGAUAGAGGACCACGACACGACUUAUCGUACAGUACAUCCCCAACUGUUGAGAUGUGGAGCUUCCCAAAUCUGGAUUUUGGGUAGGAAAGUACAGGACAGUGCACCUGCGGACAAUGUUAGUAAAAAAAAAAUAAAAGAAAUCAAAUCUCCCCCCAAAAAAGCCAAGUGGAGGUGGGAUUGUGAUUUGGCAUUUUAUACCGGUGGAUGGAAAUGAGACAGCUUUGCAUGUUUGAUCUUAGGCAGAUUCUGCCCCCCUCCUCUUUCCUCGCCUCAAGUAGAAAGAAUGUCAAACAAUAAAGUGUCGUGCUUGUCGGAAAAUGUGCAAUCUUAUGCCCCCCUCGAACUUCUGCGAGGAGUCAAAAUAACUUGCCUUCCGCUCAACUUCAUUGAAAUAGUUUGUUCUGAUUCCGAAGAUAAAAGCCUGUUUGUUUUGUGAAAUUAUUCGUCCCGGGGAGCCGCCUUCGGCCCGGACGGAGCGGAAGGAACGCGGGAAAUCGGACAGCGAGUCUUGUGACUGUUUGUGUGUAGGUGGGUUCGCGCGGUAGCCCGAUGGGUCGCUGCCACGUUCGUCAAAACGGAACACGAAUCGGCGCGAGUCUGACCUCUCACCUUGCGAUUACAAUGAAACCGUGCGUUUGGCUCGGCUUUUAGGGAUUUUGUGGGUAGAUUCCAGAACAUCAACAGUCCACCAAGCUUCCCAAAAGUUUAGUAGCACAUUAAUCAGCAGCAUCUGGGUCCAGAUGUCUGAUUUUCUCAUUAGCCUGGCCUCAAAAUAUGAAACCACACAAAAGCACUUUGGGAAAUGGCCGAAAUCCUCUAUCGGAAUCACCACCCAGGGCCAAACGUCAGGCCGUCGUGUUCCCCCCCUGAAGCUUCGAGCCAAUGCCUGGAAACGCACUCACCGGUCACAAACGCCCUUGUACAACCUGUGACAACAAAAACAACAGCCCAUAAAAAAAAAUGUAAAAAAAUACUAUCAAAGAUAUGCUGGAGUGAAUAUCUGACAGUGUCAAUUAACUGCGGUAUUUUGUUUGCCUAAAGACGCGAGUUAAGGUGUCGUACGUAGUGAGACAAAAUAAGAGUUCUGUGCUUGUCUUAUACGAAUAACCCUGAGCUUUUUUCCCCCCCUCUCCCUUUUCUUGAAGUAGGAUGUCGUGAAAAUGAGCUAAUUAGUUGUCUAAACAUUUGCUUGUUGGCUGCUCGUUGACUUUUGGCCACUUGCGACUUCUCACGGCAUCUUCCGUUCUUUGGCACCGUAGUGGCACUCAUAGUUGCUUUUGUCAUGUUUUGA